UACGAAGGUGGCAAGCGUUGUUCGGAUUUACUGGGCGUACAGGGAGCGUAGGCGGUUGGAUAAGCCCUCCGUGAAAUCUCCAGGCUUAACCUGGAAAGUGCAGAGGGGACUGUUCAGCUAGAGGAUGGGAGAGGAGCGCGGAAUUCCCGGUGUAGCGGUGAAAUGCGUAGAUAUUGGGAGGAACACCAGUGGCGAAGGCGGCUCACUGGACCGGAACUGACGCUGAGGCGCGAAAGCGUGGGGAGCAAACAGG
rnacentral:rRNA from 1 species